GGGGCUGUAGCUCAGUGGUAGAGAGCUUGCCUAGCAUUGGGAGGCUUUGGGUUCAAUCCCCAACACCACCC
rnacentral:tRNA from 1 species